AUGUCAUUACUUUCUGUUUACGAAAGUUUCAUUAAUAUAUAUAUUUAUAUUUUUUUUAGCCUUUCAAGACAAAUAAGAGAAAAUUUUCAAAAGAGAAAUAAUAUUGUUCAAUGAUGAAAAAAUAGUUGUAAAUGAGACAUCCAUUGGUUGAACCUAUGUAACUAGCCUAAAUUAUCAUUUAUAAAUUUAGGAUUUAUUAAAAUUAAAGAGCAGGUAGAUAGCAUAUGUAACAGCCCGAUUUUUCGCUAUAUUUGUUUUAAUUACUUUUAUUGUGUGUUUAUAUGUGCUUGUGUGUGAUCAUUCAUCAGUGGGUGCAUUUUUGUGGAUUUCUGUGUUAGAAGGGUAAUUUAGUCAUUUUGGACUUAGAGGUAUUUUGGUCAUUUUGUGAGAACGGGUAAAUUAUAAGUUUUUGUGAGAAUUAUUUUUAGUAUUUAGUGGGAACCGUUAUUUUGCUAAGUUACUAGAGUAAUAGUCAAUAGUUUACCGUUGAGUGACCGUUGGUAGAAUUUUAUCGUUUAGUGGCCGUUAUUAGUGGUUUACCGUCGUUUGUGUAGAAACAUUUUAGAAUUAAGUUGGAAUGAGUUAAAUCCAUUAAGCUUAGAGUUAGGCCCAUUAAGGGGACUUACUAUAAAAACCUUGUCUUAGAGGAAAUUUCCUCACAUUUUCAUUUCAUAAAAUAUUUUUGAGAGAGUUAGAGAGAGAAAGUGGGAGCAAGGAGAAAAGGGUUAGAGAGAAGAGGAACUUGAAGAAUCAAGGAUUGGGGGAGAGCUAGGAGCUAAAUUGAAGCCUAAGCUAGGGAGAUUAAUCUAACUAAGAGAUCCAUUGGUGAUCUAGAUUGUGGGCUUCGACCUUGCAGAGACCUUUGACGGUCUAGAUAUAGGUGACAACCUUGAAGUGAAAUGGUACCACAUGCAUAUAUGUGUCGGGCUAGGUGCACUUCAUGCAUGAGUCUUAUUGGUGAAAUAUGAAUGAUAAUUGUGUGUGAAUAAAUGUGAUUAAAGAAUGUUCAUGACACAUGUGACUGGUGAUUGAUUGAUGUGAGAUAUGGGGAUUAUAGUAUGAAUAAAUAUAUAAGUGAUAUUAUUAUCGGAUUCAAUGCAUGAUAUUUGAAUUGAACUAUUCAUGUUAAUUAUUAUAUGGAUUAUGAUGAUGUAAUACUUACCCCAGUGGUUUUGACCGCUACCUGUUUGUAUGGAUGAGUAGACGUUGUGCAGGAUUAGUUGCUCUAGUGAGUCUUUUGUGCUUGGUGGAUAUCAGGAGCUUUCUCCGGUAUCGGUGUUAGUUGCGUCUAGGCUGGCUCUGAUCUAGGCGUCUGUUAGAUUUAUCUGUUGGAUUUUCUUUGAUGUUAGAGAUUUACCCUAUGUUGGGAUUUU
rnacentral:lncRNA from 1 species